AGGGUACUGAAGGAAUUUACUUUUGCAGAGGAAAGAGCCCAAGUGUAGGAGCGCAUCUAACCAAAAUGGGAGUUGCAGAUCAGAGCAGAGAACAUCCCAGACACUGUAAACCCUGGCAGACAACGCAUGCAAAGGUAAGUUACAAUGCGAUAGUUUGAACUUAACAUACAAAACUUUACCACUACGGUCUCACUUAUCCAGGGAAGCCAUGGAAAAGCAUCCUCUAUCCAACUGCCGCUCACUGAACAUCACGUGACAGAGACUCUGCCAUCCACAAUAUUCAC